ACAUUCACUACUUCAUCAUGGCUUUACAGCUGCUGUUCUUCAUCCUCCUCAAUUUGAUUCAUGAAGCAAAAGCUGAAGCUCUUCCUCAACCAAACCUAAAAGUGGAUCGACUUGUGAUGACAGAAACCGACUCAGUCACACUGAAUUGUUCGGCAAAUGUUUCUGUGUCUCGGUGUGAUUUCUACUUUGAAAACAACAAAGUUUUCAGACUCUUCCUGUGUGAAAACACUGACAGGAUCUGAGAUGUUAAGGAUGUUAAAUAAAAGAUCACCAGCUGAUGUCAAAGUUAAAUGUUCCUACGUUAAAAUGAAUGAUGCUCUCAGUACCACAUCGUCAGACAGUGAAUCAACAACCAUCACCAUAAACAAUCUUCUUCCACCCACACUGAUAGUGAAUCCUCUGGUGAUCACAGAGUCAGACUCAGUCACUUUAAACUGUCAGCCUCCAUCUUCUGUGAAAAAUUGUCAUUUCUACUUUGGGAGAGAAAACA